rnacentral:rRNA from 1 species
UACAGAGGUCCCAAGCGUUGUUCGGAUUUACUGGGCGUAAAGGGAGCGUAGGUGGCAUUCCAAGUCUGAUGUGAAAGCUCUGAGCUUAACUCAGAAAUGGCAUUAGAUACUGGUUUGCUCGAGGAUUGGAGGGGAGAUUGGAAUUCCUGGUGUAGCAGUGAAAUGCGUAGAUAUCAGAAGGAACAUCAGUGGCGAAGGCGGCUUCCUGGACCAAUACUGACGAUCAGGUGCGAAAGCGUGGGGAGCAAACAGG